GCGAUUUGAGCUAAGAUGAAGCAGGACGUGUGCGCUUGCUCUCUCGAGCUACCCCCCCCCCCCCCACCUGGGGGGACUCAUUGCUUCUUACGGAGUGUUAUUGGAGUACCGCGUCACGUACACCGGGCCACGGGCAACCGUGACCUUGGUGUACGGUGAACCAGCGAGAAAGCCACCUAGGAGGAGAAGGAGGAGGAAGACGGACGCGCCAGGGGCGGACCGGGGGAGGUCAAAACCGGUAGCUCAACUACCGGCGGCGACUUCUUCUGUUGUACGCCCCAAGCCCCAGUCUACACCAGCGAGACCAGCUGUUACAGCCCUGCUGGAUCCAGAUGUUGACUUGCCAGUGGCGAAGCCGGACACGGACCUUAACCGGGCCCUGAUGGAAUCGCCCCCCACAUCUCCGAAGCCUUCAGCCUCCGGGUUUCCAGCGAUGCCACCCCCACCCAGGAAGAGUGGCGCUGUAGAAACCCAGGCCCGUCUUGUGGCCGUUGGAAAACGAAAGGCGGUUGUGUCCCCAGGCGACCAACCAGACAAGCCAAGUCCGCCGACUCAACCGCCUACACCAACUUCACCGCCGAUAGAUGAUCCGACCAUCGGCCAGCCUUGGACAUUACAGUCUGGCAAGCUACCAUCGCGCUACACAAGGCUGGUCAAGACCAACAUCGGGGAUGUCCGUCGGCUCCUUUGUGAACCUGGUCCGGAGACCUACGAACCUCUGCCCCUAACGGAAGGAGAGUUUUCGGUGCGGAGGAUUACUAUGAAAGAUGGGAGAGGGAUCUGCCUUACUGUCCGCCGGAGGGGACUUUUCCACCAAGGGAUGCUUCUCGAUGAAAUGGACAACCCGACCAUCCACCGUGUCAUCAAGACCGUUGCCGGGGAAGAUUACCGUCCAAUCACCGAGAACAUCGCCAAGUCCACAUACCGGCAAGCCCUCCACCAUCUGGAUUCGUCCCUCUUCAUCAGCUCUCCUUGACGACAUCCCCUCUACCAACCUCCUUUGCCUCCGAUGACCAAGUAGACUGGGAUAAGCCAAUCCUUGACCAGAUUCCGUCGCUAGGAGACAAGUACUUCGAGUGGGUUCACAAGCCCGUCAAGCGGCCGCUGCGGCUCUUCCACUCGGACUUCAUGGAGUUCUUCUCCAAGUGUCCGUGGUGGCUGGUUCCGGUCGUCUGGUUCCCCGUCAUCUGUCUGCUGCUGCACCACGCCUACACCAACCUGGCCCUGCAGCCCGAAGUCUGGCUCGGUUCGCUGGCUGGAGGGUAUCUAGUCUUCACAGUUUCAAGCAUCUUGAACAGGUAUGGUGGAGCAGGAAGGACUGUGGGGCUUUAGUUCCCACACACACACCUCACCCUUCUCAAUAAUUUGGAAUAA